GUGGGGAAUCUUCCGCAAUGGACGAAAGUCUGACGGAGCGACGCCGCGUGAGUGAAGAAGGCCUUCGGGUCGUAAAGCUCUGUCAUCAGGGACGAACGGCCGGUGGAGUGGAAAGCCACCGGAUUGACGGUACCUGAGAAGGAAGCCACGGCUAACUACGUGCCAGCAGCCGCGGUAAUACGUAGGUGGCAAGCGUUGUCCGGAAUUAUUGGGCGUAAAGCGCGCGCAGGUGGGAUCUUAAGUCCAUUUUGAAAGUUCGGAGCUCAACUCCGUGAUGGGAUGGAAACUGGGAGUCUUGAGUACCGGAGAGGAAAGCGGAAUUCCCCGUGUAGCGGUGAAAUGCGUAGAUAUGGGGAGGAACACCAGUGGCGAAGGCGGCUUUCUGGACGGUGUCUGACACUGAGGCGCGAAAGCUAGGGGAGCGAACGGGAUUAGAUACCCUGGUAGUCC
rnacentral:rRNA from 1 species